GUGAGGGCCCUCUGGGUCCAACCUCCCACCCGUGUCUAUCGUACCUUGUUGCUUCGGCGGGCCCGCCGUUUCGACGGCCGCCGGGGAGGCCUUGCGCCCCCGGGCCCGCGCCCGCCGAAGACCCCAACAUGAACGCUGUUCUGAAAGUAUGCAGUCUGAGUUGAUUAUCGUAAUCAGUUAAAACUUUCAACAACGGAUCUCUUGGUUCCGGCAUCGAUGAAGAACGCAGCGAAAUGCGAUAAGUAAUGUGAAUUGCAGAAUUCAGUGAAUCAUCGAGUCUUUGAACGCACAUUGCGCCCCCUGGUAUUCCGGGGGGCAUGCCUGUCCGAGCGUCAUUGCUGCCCUCAAGCACGGCUUGUGUGUUGGGCCCCCGUCCCCCUCUCCCGGGGGACGGGCCCGAAAGGCAGCGGCGGCACCGCGUCCGGUCCUCGAGCGUAUGGGGCUUUGUCACCUGCUCUGUAGGCCCGGCCGGCGCCAGCCGACACCCAACUUUAUUUUUCUAAGGUUGACCUCGGAUCAGGUAGGGAUACCCGCUGAAUU
rnacentral:rRNA from 1 species